rnacentral:misc_RNA from 1 species
AGCACCCAUACAUUCCUCCAUUUUGGUGACAAACCCCUUCACCUAUAUCAUGGAACUUCUUUAGUACUUUAUAAUUCUUUGUGGUUGACUACAAAUGCAUCUGUGUAUAUGCUUAAUCUAUUAUGAAACAAUGCUUUAAACCUAUUCCCAGGUUAUCGCCAACCUCAUCACCUAUCUACUGCAGUAAGAUGAUGGACGUGUAGUAUCACCAAUUAUUUUAACAUCAAAUGAAUGUGGGAACUCAA